UACGUAGGGUCCGAGCGUUUGUCCGGAGUUACUGGGCGUAAAGCGCGCGCAGGCGGCGGUGCUGGCCCGGCGUGAAAGCCCCCGGCUCAACCGGGGAGGGUCGUCGGGGACCGCACCGGCUUGAGGGCGGUAGGGGCUGGUGGAAUGCCUGGUGUAGUGGUGAAAUGCGUAGAGAUCAGGCGGAACACCCGUGGCGAAGGCGGCCAGCUGGGCCGUCCCUGACGCUGAGGCGCGAAGGCGUGGGGAGCGAACGGG
rnacentral:rRNA from 1 species